UGUCCGGAUUUACUGGGUGUAAAGGGUGCGUAGGCGGCCGAGCAAGUCAGUUGUGAAAACUAUGGGCUUAACCCAUAACGUGCAAUUGAAACUGUCCGGCUUGAGUGAAGUAGAGGUAGGCGGAAUUCCCGGUGUAGCGGUGAAAUGCGUAGAGAUCGGGAGGAACACCAGUGGCGAAGGCGGCCUACUGGGCUUUAACUGACGCUGAGGCACGAAAGCAUGGGUAGCAAACAGGAUUAGAUACCCUGGUAGUCCAUGCCGUAAACGAUGAUUACUAGGUGUGGGGGGACUGGCCCCUUCCG
rnacentral:rRNA from 1 species